UUAAGUGUUUUACCAAAGUAGUUAAACACAUACAAAAAGCACUUGAAAUCAGAAAGCUUAAAUGGGUAGAUUAGCUUUGCUCAGAAUGUUGACCGAGAGAACCGAGAUUUGAUGUAGAGAGCGAUUCCUGAAACCUGAAAAGAGGAAAUAAGUGAUUCGUUUGAGCAAAUCAGUGAGACAAAUUUGAACAACAAAGUUGCAAAAUUUGACAAAGCACGGCACAUUAGACCAAUAAAGAUAAUGAAUCAAAUCUGCAAAAAUAAUUUGAACAUCAAAAGACAGAGAUGGAACUCUCAAAUGAAAAAGGGAGAAGGAAAAAGGAAAAAGGAGGAUAAGAAGAUGCAGCAACAGAGAGGGAAGGUACUACCGGUUGAAAAUUUGUGCUCUUACUCUGAUUUUAAAUGGAAAGAAAAGUGAUUGACUAUCAGUGGGAAGAAAAUCGUGUCAUCGGUUUCGAGAGAGGGUGGA
rnacentral:lncRNA from 1 species